rnacentral:rRNA from 1 species
GAUGAACGCUAGCUCCAGGCUUAACACAUGCAAGCCGAGGGGCAGCAUGACGAUAGCUUGCUAUUGUUGAUGGCGACCGGCGCACGGGUGAGUAACGCGUAUCCAACCUUCCCGUUGCUAGGGGAUAACCUUGCGAAAGUAAGACUAAUACCCUAUGAGGUUCUUCGCAGACAUCUAAAGAGAACGAAAGAUUUAUCGGCAACGGAUGGGGAUGCGUCUGAUUAGGUUGUUGGCGGGGUAACGGCCCACCAAGCCCACGAUCAGUAGGGGUUCUGAGAGGAAGGUCCCCCACAUUGGAACUGAGACACGGUCCAA